rnacentral:lncRNA from 1 species
GGUGCGGAGGCCGUGAAUUUGCCUUGCGGCGGCGGAGCCCGUGCUCGGAUCGAUGAUGACUCCCUCUAAAGCAUUCCUUGGAAAUCUGAACAAAAUGAGUGAGAACUCACUACCGUCUCCUCAUCGAAACUGAGGAGAGCAGCAUGGCGGACCCCUGAUCUUGUGGCGUGCCACCGCGCGAGGCCGAGGAGCUCCCGCAGACCAGUGGGCGUGGCGUCUUGUCGCGGCUCUGUGGAGACUGGCGAUGGUGAGCGGCCCUGUCCUCAGUGGUGGAGAACUCGCCCUUGGGGCGCUCGUCGGUCCGGAGCCCCGGGCCACCCCGC